CAGCCGCCGCGGUAAUACGGAGGGCGCGAGCGUUGUCCGGAUUCACUGGGCGUAAAGCGGGUGUAGGCGGUCGGGUAAGUCGGACGUGAAAGCCCGGGGCUCAACCCCGGAAGGGCGUCCGAAACUGCUCGACUUGAGGGCGGGAGAGGGAGGUGGAAUUCCCGGUGUAGCGGUGAAAUGCGUAGAUAUCGGGAGGAGCACCAGUGGCGAAGGCGGCCUCCUGGCCCGCUCCUGACGCUGAGACCCGAAAGCGUGGGGAGAAACCCGGAUUAGAUCCCCGGGUAGUCCACGCCGUAAACGGUGGGCACUAGGUGUGGGGGGUUAAUCCCUCCGUGCCGAAGCUAACGCAUUAAGUGCCCCGCCUGGGGAGUACGGCCGCAAGGUUGAAACUUAAAGGAAUUGGCGGG
rnacentral:rRNA from 1 species